AUAAGCCUUUCUUGCGUCAUUGUGCUCCUGAGAUAGCUUUUGAUGAGCUUGAGCUGUGAGAAUGAUCUCUCACAUGACGUAAUGGAAGUGGACUGAGUUAGCCGUAUUCGGAGGAGGUUGCAAAGUUAGAGCACACGUAAUUCCCAUAUGAAGCAUGUUUCCUCAAUAUGUCUAUUGGUGAUUGUAUUACUGUUUGUUGAUGAAAAGUGCUCGUGCAUCAAUGACAUCAUUGAAAAAAGCGAUUUUCCAUUUAUUUCAUUAUGCAAACAGGAAAAAUAGCACAGUUUGUCACAAGCGUGUCUUCAUCUAACAGGUGUCUUGGUUGAAGAAGAAACCCAAAGGUAUCUAUUUUCUUUCCUGCCUUUGGAAUCUGCCCUUCAUCUCCAUAUGAAAUC